rnacentral:rRNA from 1 species
AACGUAGGAGACAAACGUUAUCCGGAGUUACUGGGCGUAAAGGGCGUGUAGGCGGUUUGUUAAGUCUGGCGUGAAGCUCUCGGCUAAACCGGGAGAGGUCGUUGGAUACUGGCAAACUAGAGGACGGUAGAGGCGUGUGGAAUUCCGGGUGUAGUGGUGAAAUGCGUAGAGAUCCGGAGGAACACCAGUGGCGAAGGCGACACGCUGGGCCGUACCUGACGCUAAAGCGCGGCAGCAUGGGGAGCAAACGGG